CCUAACACAUGCAAGUCGAGCGAACCCCUCGGGGUUAGCGGCGGACGGGUUAGUAACGCGUGGGAACGUGCCCAAAGGUACGGAAUAGCAUCGGGAAACUGGUGGUAAUACCGUAUGUGCCCUUCGGGGGAAAGAAUUUCGCCUUUGGAUCGGCCCGCGUAAGAUUAGGUAGUUGGUGAGGUAACGGCUCACCAAGCCUACGAUCUUUAUCUGGUUUGAGAGGAUGAUCAGAAACACUGGGACUGGGACACGGCCCAGACUCCUACGGGAGGCAGCAGUGGGGAAUCUUGGACAAUGGGCGCAAGCCUGAUCCAGCCAUGCCGCGUGAGUGAAGAAGGCCUUAGGGUUGUAAAGCUCUUUCAGGGGUGAGGAUUAUGACAGUAACCCCAGAAGAAGCACCGGCUAACUUCGUGCCAGCAGCCGCGGUAAUACGAAGGGUGCAAGCGUUGUUCGGAAUCACUGGGCGUAAAGGGCGUGUAGGCGGAUGGACAAGUUAGAGGUGAAAGCCCCGGGCUCAACCUGGGAACUGCCUUUAAAACUGUUCAUCUAGAAUCCGGGAGGGGAGUGUGGAAUUCCUAGUGUAGAGGUGAAAUUCGUAGAUAUUAGGAAGAACACCGGUGGCGAAGGCGACACUCUGGACCGGUAUUGACGCUGAG
rnacentral:rRNA from 1 species